rnacentral:rRNA from 1 species
AAGGUAGCGAAAUUCCUUGUCGGGUAAGUUCCGACCCGCACGAAUGGUGUAACGAUCUGGGCACUGUCUCAACUACCCACCCGGCGAAAUUGUAGUACCGGUGAAGAUGCCGGUUACCUGCGGCAAGACGGAAAGACCCCAUGGAGCUUUACUGUAGCCUGAUAUUGGGUUUCGGAAAUCUAUGUACAGGAUAGGCGGGAGACUGGGAAGUAUGAGCGUCAGCUUAUACGGAGUCAUUGUUGGGAUACCGCCCUUAGGUUUCUGGAAUUCUAACCUGCGACCGUGAAUCCGGUCGGGGGACAUUGUCAGGUGGGCAGUUUGACUGGGGCGGUCGCCUCCGAAAAGGUAACGGAGGCGCUCAAAGGUUGGCUCAGCACGGACGGAAACCGUGCCUCUGAGUGUAAACGCAAAAGCCAGCCUAACUGCGAGGAUGACGGUCCGAGCAGUAACGAAAGUUGGAGUUAGUGAUCCGGCGGUAUGUGAAUGGAAAUGCCGUCGCUCAACGGAUAAAAGCUACCCUGGGGAUAACAGGCUGAUCUCCCCCAAGAGUCCACAUCGACGGGGAGGUUUGGCACCUCGAUGUCGGCUCAUCACAUCCUGGGGCUGUAUUCGGUCCCAAGGGUUCGGCUGUUCGCCGAUUAAAGUGGUACGCGAGCUGGGUUCAGAACGUCGCGAGACAGUUCGGUCCCUAUCUGUCGUGGGCGCAGGAUAUUUGAGGAGCUCUGUCCUUAGUACGAGAGGACCGGGAUGGACGUACCUCUGGUGCACCAGUUGUCAUGCCAAUGGCACGGCUGGGCAGCUACGUACGGAACGGAUAAACGCUGAAAGCAUCUAAGCGUGAAGCCGACUCCAAGAUUAGAUAUCCCAUUGCAUAAGCAAGUAAGACCCCUUGAGGACUACGAGGUUGAUAGGCUGCGUGUGUAAGUGUCGUGAGGCAUUUAGCUUGGCAGUACUAAUAGGUCGAGGGCUUGACCAC